rnacentral:sRNA from 1 species
AUCAUGACUUAAUAAAAAUGUUUUAAUGAUAUAAGACUCCAAAAAGGUGGACCUUCACAUCAUUAAAGUUUGCUAUAGACACUCUUUAUUGUUUAGCGUGUUGGACUUAGUUUCUUAUAGAUCAGACAAUGAAAGUCGUAUUACUCUGUUUGGUGGUCAUCGCUCUGGCCUCAGCUGGUGUGGUUGAGAAAAGACAGAUUUGUGCCAACCACUGUAAUCAAAACACACUCUCCGGGUGUCACCACGACCAGGUCUGCGUACAACAUGGAUGUAAUCACUUCUGCGAAUUCAUUAUAAAGAAACGCCAAGACUGCCCUCCCGUGUUGUGUAAGAUGUACUGUGAACAGGGAUUUGCUAAAGGUUCUGAUGGAUGUCCCAUUUGUGCUUGUGCCUAAGUGACUUUUGUCAAACUCAAGAGGUUUUUGUCUCUUGUUUGAACAGAAUGUACAUGUUCCCUCAGUUUGGGCUUAUACAAUACAACUAAAGUCCGUGUCAAUAGCUGAGUACUCUUAAUAAAGCAAAAGUCAUUAAAAUA